UCCUAAUAAUUUAAAUACAAGCGAAUCAAAGAAUUAAGGAAUUGAGUUUAUAAGAACCCGAGUCAACGGGACUUAAAAUAAAACGGGUUUUUAGCUCCCGGAACCCACCAAGUAACUAGGAGUAUUAACCUAGUUAGUUAAUGUCUUGACAAAAUAGAACUAAUGUGGUUAAGCUACCCUUUAAAUAACUUGUGUAAAGUGAAGGGACUAGACAUGGACAAUUGAAUUAAAGUUUCAAUUAAACAAAUUAAUAAACAAAACACACACAUACGUGUGUGUGUCUGCGACUUCAACCAGAGCCAAGAAGGGCUCUCUUGCUCAAAACCCUAAUCCCUCAAGAAUCUCUCAAAUUGAAGCCCAAAUCAAGAGCCAAAUCAUUGCAUGAACACAAAUUCGUGAUCACCUAGUCAUGGGGAUUACAAGUUGGCGCUUAAACAAGCUAGGUGAAGCUUGGAGUGAAAACGGGUCAAACGAGUCAAGUAUAGAAGAAAAGCGUAGCUCGGAUGCAAGGACUAAUUAGCAAAUCGGAUAGUUGCGUCAUCAUUAAUGGUGUGAUAAUAAAAGCGAGGCAUAAAUCGGGUCUAUUCGUUGAUCCGAGCCAGGUACGCAUAUUUAUGUUGUAGUUAAAAGUGAUAUUUUGGUCGAAUAUUUGGUGAGAGUCCUUCAUUGUAAAAGAAGGACCAAAAUCGACCAAAACGCCCUUGUAGGCUAAAUUGAACAAACAACCCUUAAAGGUU